rnacentral:rRNA from 1 species
CCUACGGGAGGCAGCAGUAGGGAAUCUUUCACAAUGGGCGAAAGCCUGAUGGAGCAACGCCGCGUGCAGGAUGAAGGCCUUCGGGUUGUAAACUGCUUUUAUAAGCGAGAAAUAUGAUGGUAACUUUUGAAUAAGGAUCGGCUAACUACGUUCCAGCAGCUGCGGUCAUACGUAGGAUCCGAGCAUUAUCCGGCGUGUCUGGGGGUAAAGGGUUGCGUAGGUGGCAUAAUAAGUAGCUAGUGAAAUCUGGUGGCUCAACCGUGCAGACUCUUAGCUAAACUGUUAAGCUCGAGACCGUUAGGGGUGACUGGAAUUUGUAGUGUAGGAGUGAAAUCCGUAGAUAUUAGAAGGAACACCGAUAGCGAAGGCAGGUUGCUGGGACGGUUCUGACGCUAAGGCACGAAAGCGUAGGGAGCAAACGGGAUUAGAUACCCGAGUAGUC